GGAGGGUUGCCCGAGUGGCCAAAGGGAGCAGGCUGUAAACCUGCCGGCUAUGCCUACGUUGGUUCGAAUCCAUCACCCUCCA
rnacentral:tRNA from 1 species